CGCAACCUCGGAAUUUCCUAAGAAAUCACUUUGCAAUUCUUAAGCAUAAAAGAUUUUAGGCCCCUGGGAAUUGAAAUCGAAUUGCUAAUAAAUCAUAUUACUGUUGUUGUGCAUUAAAUAAAUGCAUAAAUUUUACUUUAUGCACUCGCGUGUGCAGUAAUUUUGACAGUUAUGCUAUUUUAAAUUCCCAGGCGCCUAAAAUCUUUUGUCUUUAAAACAAUGUCGAUGUCUUGGGAAAUUCCGAGGUUGCGCUUUUUUUGAUACACCCUGUAGA